GAUGAACGCUGGCUACAGGCUUAACACAUGCAAGUCGUGGGGAAACGGCAUUAUGUGCUUGCACAUUCUGGACGUCGACCGGCGCACGGGUGAGUAUCGCGUAUCCAACCUGCCCCUUACUUGGGGAUACCCCGUUGAAAGACGGCCUAAUACCCGAUGUGUUUCAUUGACGGCAUCCGAUAUGGAACAAAGGUUUUCCGGUAAGGGAUGGGGAUGCGUCUGAUUAGCUAGUUGGCGGGGCAACGGCCCACCAAGGCGACGAUCAGUAGGGGUUCUGAGAGGAAGGUCCCCCACAUUGGAACUGAGACACGGUCCAAACUCCUACGGGAGGCAGCAGUGAGGAAUAUUGGUCAAUGGACGCAAGUCUGAACCAGCCAAGUAGCGUGCAGGAUGACGGCCCUAUGGGUUGUAAACUGCUUUUAUGUGGGAAUAAAGUGGCGCACGUGUGCGCCAUUGCAU
rnacentral:rRNA from 1 species